UAAAUUGAAUUUGUAUGUUAAAUAUCUAAAAUUAACAUGAAAAUAUAGUUCGGUUUAGAUAUUUGGAUGGAGACUCCGUAGGUAUUUAGAGUAUUUCCGGUGUUUGAAUAUUUGUGGAUAUUUAUUUUUAGCUAUUUUCAGGUAUUUUAGGCAAUUUUGAGUACUUUAGAUAUUUUUAGGAUAUUUAGUGUGAUUUGGGUAUAUUGGGAUUCGCAAAAUAUAUUGUUUCGAGUCAGAUUUAGAUGUAGUUCUUCAUAUACCAAAAUUUGGGACUCAUUUGGAUAUCUUACAAGUUUUGGCUCGAGUUCAAUACAACUUCUUAAAACGGAUUUGGUUCGGUUCUCUGAACUCUAAUAUUUUUCCCAUAAUUGAAAGUUACAGUCUCAAAAAAUAUUAUAAAGGAAAUCAAGUAAAGUAAUGAUCUGGAAUUUAUCAUGC
rnacentral:lncRNA from 1 species